rnacentral:rRNA from 1 species
AGUGAACGCUGGCGGUAGGCCUAACACAUGCAAGUCGAACGGCAGCACAGUAAGAGCUUGCUCUUACGGGUGGCGAGUGGCGGACGGGUGAGGAAUACAUCGGAAUCUACUUUUUCGUGGGGGAUAACGUAGGGAAACUUACGCUAAUACCGCAUACGACCUACGGGUGAAAGCAGGGGAUCUUCGGACCUUGCGCGAUUGAAUGAGCCGAUGUCGGAUUAGCUAGUUGGCGGGGUAAAGGCCCACCAAGGCGACGAUCCGUAGCUGGUCUGAGAGGAUGGUCAGCCACACUGGAACUGGGACACGGUCCCGGAUCCUAAGGGAGGGCGCAGUGGGGAAUAUUGGGCAAUGGGGGGAAGCCUGAUCCAGGCAUACCGGGGGGGUUAAAGAGGCCUUCGGGUUGUAAAGCCCUUUUGUUGGGAAAGAAAAGCAGCAGGUUAAUACCCCGCUGUUCUGACGGUACCCAAAGAAUAAGCACCGGCUAACUUCGUG